AGGCUGACACGUGGUGCCUUCAGGCUCUGGGGCCUAGGACCUUUGUGAUAGCAGAGUCACUGCAGAGAACCAGACAAUACCAGGUUGCUUAUAAAAGGAUGCCAUGUGCUUGCUGGAGGUCCCAGGUGCAAACAAAUUGCUUGCAGCUAGGAGGACCUUGAAGAGAAAUGGAAUCAGCCUGCCAAACCAAGAAGGGUUAGCAUUUUUGCUAGGAGAGCUGACCACGCACAAACAGAUGAGAACCAAAACCGAGUGAAGAGGAUUGAAGAUGAACCCACAUUUUAAAAGUUCUUGUCUGCUGGAGGUGGCAUUACCUGUGACCUCGCUUCACUUCUCCAUACAUGGCUGUUAUAGCAGAAAAUCCAGCUUUCUGAAGCAUAUUUCACGACAUAUGAUGAGACUUAUGUGAUGUGAGACCUGAGAAAACUAUGAUAGAAAGAAGCAACUCAAGCUGCAAGGAUAUUCCUCAUGUAUCAUGCAAGGAUAUUCCUCAUGUAUCAUAGACUAAGGUGUCACUAUGUUCUUCAAGCUGCUCUGCUCCUGGGCCCAAGCUAUUCUCCUGCCUCAGCCUUCCAAGAAGCUGAAACUACAAGAACAUGAGACUUUACCUGGCUUGCAAACACCAUUGCUAAUAAGAAGAUAUUGUAAGACUGAUACCUAAGAGAUAAGAGACAUGGAUCCCUGAGGUCGGUCCCCAAUACGACAAGACAAUUUGAUAUCAGAACACUGCAGAAACAAUGCUGAGUGAAGAAGAGUAGAAAUGGGAAGACUUGGUUGAGCGGAAACUGAGUUCUUGAAAAGAGGAGAUGCUUGAUGAGGGAUCAGACUCUGUUGCCCAGACUGGAGUGCAGUGGCAGGAUCAUGGCUCAGUGCAGCCUCAACCUCCCUGGACUCAGGUGAUCCUUUCACCUCCACUUCCUGAGUAGCUGGGACUACAGGCAUGGAUCCCUGAGGUCUGCCCCAGUACUAUAAGACAAUUUGAUGUAAGAAAACACAGCAGAUAUAAUACUGAGUGAAGAAGAGUAUAAAUGAGAAGAUUGGCUGUGCAGAUACUGAGUUCAUGAAAAGAGGAGAUGAUUCAUGAGGCCAGGUGCGGUGACUCACGCCUGUAAUCCCUGCACUUUGGGAGGCUGCGGCGGGCGGAUCACCUGAGGUCGGGAGUUCGAGACCAGCCUGGGAGACAGAGCAUGGAAACCUAAGGUCUGUCCCCCAAACUACAAGACUAUUUGACAUCAUAAUAAAACACUGCAGAUAUGAUGCUGAGUGAGUAAGAGUAGAAAUGGGAAGACUUGGUUGUGCAGUAACUGAGUUCUUGAAAAGAGGAGAUGCUUGAUGAGGGCAUGGAUCACUAAGGUCUGUUCCCAAUACAAGAAGACUCUUUGACAUCAUAAUAAAAUACUGCAGAUACAAUGCUGAGUGAAAAAGAGUAGAAAUGGGAAGACUUGGUUGUGCAGAAACUGAGUUCUUAAAGAGAGGAGAUACUUUAUGAGGGCAUGGAAAGCUAAGGUCUUUCCAGAAUACUACAAGAGUACUUGAUAUCAUAAUAAAACACCGUAGAUAUGAUGCUGAGUGAGUAAGAGUAGAAAUGGGAAGACUUGGUUGUGCAGAAACUCAGUUAUUAAAAGGAGGCGAUGCUUGAUGAGGGUGAGUGGAUUACAUCUCAGUUUAAUAUCCAAUGGAAACUAAAAGCAAAUUGCUGAGUGGAAUAUGUUUACACAAAUUGAGCAAAAUGUUGGGGAGCCAUAGUUUCUGGUGUCUUUGUCUCUUCAUGGCCUUUUUUAAGAAACAUGUAGUGAUGUAUCUGUAAAAAUUCCACAAAAAACUGAUAGUGUCUACUUUACUAAAGUAAUAUUCCUGAGGCCCUAUGUUAAGAUUUACCUUUAUUUAUAUUGAAGGCGUGAAAUGUUGAGAUAUAAGACUUAGUACUGGGCUGGGUGAGGUGGCUCACACCUGUAAUCCCAGCACUUUGGGAGGCUGAGGUGGGCGGAUCACGAGGACGGCAUUUCGAGACCAGCCUGACCAAUAUGGUGAAACUCCAUGGGCGUGGUGGUGCACGCCUGCAAUCCCAGCUGCUCAGGAGGCUGAGGCAGGAGAAUCCCUUGAACCCGGGAUGCAGACCUUGCAGUGAGCGGAGAUCCCACCACUGCACGCCAGCCUAGGCGACAGAGCGAGACUCUAUCUCAAAAAAAAAAAAAAAAAAAAAAAAAAGAGUUAGUACUGGUGACAUUCUAAUAAAAUCACGCUCCUCAAAUGUUUGUUAAAAUACACACUCGGGGUGGGUGGGCGCGGUGGCUCACACCUGUAAUCCCAGCACUUUGGGAGACCGAGGCGGGCGGAUCACGAGGUCAAGAGAUCGAGACCUUCCUGGCUAACACAGUGAAACGCCGUCUCUACUAAAAAGUACAAAAAAUUAGCAGGGCGUGGUGGCGGGCGCCUGUAGACCCAGCUAGGCGGGAGGCUGAGGCAGGAGAAUGGCGUGAACCCGGGAGGUGGAGCUUGCAGUGAGCAGAGAUGCACCACUGCACUCCAGCCUGGGCGACAGAGCGGAGACUCCGUCUCAAAAAAAAAAAAAAAAAAAAACACUUGGUGUGGUCCAAAUCACAGUGUACACAGUAAUUCACUUUUAACACAGAUCAAGAUUCCUGAUGAGGGCGGGUGGUUUAGGCCUUGGUUUCAUUUGAACUGGAAACCAAAAGAAAAAGCUCAGCAGUAAGACUAGCUGGCUGCAAACUGGGCUAAAUGUAAGGCACCCAUUCUGCAGGGCCUUUGUCUAUAGGUGGCGUUUUUUCAGACAGGAGGGGCGGGAAAAGAGGGCUCUGGAACAGUGCUUCUUCCCAUACCUGAAGCACUACUGCCAUCGCGAGGAUGUUGUUUAACAAAUCCCUACGCCAUUACGGUGUUCUCCUGAGGACUAGUUGUUGGGGAAGUUCUCCUCUGUGGGUAGGUGGAAAAGGCUUGCUCCAUGCUGGGAGUCCUAGCCUUCUCGUCUAAGGCCUUAAAGGACACCAGGACUUUGGCGGUGUCUUGGUAUAGAACCUGGAGUGUGAAGGUUCUAAUACCAAAUCCUGUAAACUUCCCUGGAAUAAACCUGUUGUUUGUGCGCGGUACUGGUGCUACCAGAGACCCAAAGACCCGUAGCAAGAUGCUAGUUCGAGAAAGCCUGCUGAUUCUUGCUCCAAGGGACAGGAAGAAGAGACAGAUGCCCACAAGAGCCUCCAUGUGCGUUUGAAUGGGUGCCUUCAGUCCUGCCCACACUUGGAGGAACCGAGGCCCCGCCCUACGUCUUCCUGUGCCAGGAUCGCCUGGCAGCUGCUGGUUCACUACAAGCCCCUCACUCUCCUGGUUCUACACCAAGCUACUACCAAUGUUAAGGCCUCUCUUCAGGCCUUAGAGGAGAAAGCUAGAAGACCUAGCCUGGAGCCCAAGCGUCUACCACCUCCCACAGUUCAGACUUCCCUCCACAGCAAGUCUUUCUGGGAAGAACGCUGUAAUGGCGUAUUGUGUCGUCAAACGAUUUCCUCACGGUGGCAGUGGUGCUUCACAUUGUUAAGGAAUCCCUAUCUCGGAGCCCUUUUCUCUCGCCCUUCCCGUCUGAAAAAACGCCACCCAGAGACAAAGGUGCCACCCAAUAUGGCUGCCUGGAGAUUUGUCCAGUUUGGUGCAACCUGGUCUUACUGUUGCAUUUUUACUUUUUUUUUUUUUCCAUCUGAAAGCAAAAUGAGGCCUAAACCACCCAUGCUUCUCAAGAAUCCUGUUGUUUCAGAAAUUAAAUAUACUCCUCACUGAAGCUAUCUGGGUAUGAUUUACCUCACACAGUUACAAGUCCUGGAAGUUCCAUGGUAUCAAAUUGUCUCCUUCAGGUGAUACAUUGGAUGGAUGAAGGUACAAAAACAAAGACAGAUAUCUAAGAGACAGAUAUCAAAGAGAAAGAAAACCAAUUCAUGAAGUUUGAAAUGCUAAGUGAAAGAAGCAGUACUGAAGCAGGAGAUGUAAAAGAAAAAAAAAAGGGAGAGAAAAGCUGGUUCUCUGUGCUGGGCUGACUCACUCCAAGGCCCAGCGAUAAGUAGAGCUCUGUCAGGACUUUGAUAGCACUAUCAGCAGAGUGGGGGCCCAGAAGGAAUGGGCUCUAGAAGCAGGGAUAAGAAAAACAAGUUAUUUGGCCGGGCACAAUGGCUCACACCUGUAACCCCAGCACUUUGGGAGGCCGAGGUGGGAGGAUCACCUGAGGUCGGGAGUUCAAGACCAGCCUGGCCAACAUGGUGAAACCCCGUCUCUACUAAAAAUACAAAAAUUAGCCAGGCGUGUUGGCCGGCAGCUGUAACCCCAGCUACUUGGAAGGCUGAGACAGGAGAAUCACUUGAACCUGGGAGGAGGAGGUUGCAGUGAACCAAGAUCACACCAUUGCACUCCAGCCUGGGGGACAAGAGCGAGACUUCAUCUAAAAAAAAAAAAAAGAAAAGAAAAACAAGUUCUUUUUAUCAGUUUCCCCUUUGAAAUUCUUUCCCCAUACCAUUAUUCUUUGUUCUGCUCUCACAACUAUUUUUGUAACUGUUUUCGCAAGCUUGUAAAGAUUUUGUAAGUUCCUGUUUUCCAGCUGUGCAGUUAUGGCGAAGGUCACAAAACAUGCCUGAAAUGUAAAACCUGUCACUGUUUGAUAAACUGCCUUUGUUCUGCUUCUGUAAGCUUGCUUACCGGCCUUACAGGUUUUGGGCCCUUUUCAGAUAUAUGUAUAAAAGUCAAGCCCUCUCUUGGUUCGGGGCUCAGCCUUUGGAUGUUAAUCUGCUGAGUCGGUGACCACCUAGUAAAAUCCUCCUGUUCCACCCGUUGGUCUCUCUGGUCUCCCGGUUCCCACAAAAAGAUGAACAAGGCCACUUAUUGUGAUGAUCAGUAGUGAGGGAAAUCAGAUGAGUGUUUGCCAGGGGCUGGGCAGAGAGUGGAAUGGGGAAUGACUAACUAAUGGGUCCAGGAUUUUCUUUUGUGGUAGUGAAAAUGAUUUGCCACUACAUAGUGGUAAUGCUUGCACUGCAUUGUGAGUGUCCUAACUGCCAUUGAAAUUAAUACAUUUUAAUGGUUAAUUUUAUGUUAUAUGCAGUUUACAAACUCAGUUUUUAAAAGUGCCAGUACUUUUAAAGCUAUCAUUAUUUCCAUGAAUUAUUAAUUAUAUUUGAAAAGUACUCCAGUUAUCAGUGAAACAAACUUGUUUUAACAGCUAUAGUACAUGGUGGCCAGUCAAGGUGCCUCAUGCCUGUAAUCCUAGCACUUUGGGAGUCCAAGAUGGGAGGAUCGCUUGAGACCAGCAGUUCGAGAUCAGCCUGGUCAACAGAGUGAAACUCCAUAUCUAAAAUGAAAAAUACAAAAGAAAAAAACAAAAAUAAACAACAACAAGAAGUUAUACUACAGGGGAAUUUGAACAUUAGUUUAUAAAAGUCCAUAUUAUAUAUGUAUAGGGAACAGAUCAUAGCACCUAGCACAGACCUUUUAAAAGUGAUUAUUUCUUCUUUCUAUGUUUGACCUACCACAAGUUUUCUACUUUAUAAUUUCUUACAGUUCUUCUAGAGUAAAAUGUAAAAAAUUUCAAGCACUCAAAAGUAUGUAUUGAUGUAGAUAUAUUCAAAGAGUAUAAGGUGAUGCUGAAUAUGUAUAUGUAUAUACACACAUAUAUAUACACACAUAUAUAUACACUAUAUAUAUAUACACACACACACAUAUAUAUAUAUACAGAUAUGCGUAUAUAUAUAUUUUAGACAGCAUCUUACUCUGUUGCCCAGGGUGGAGUGUAGAGGCAUGAUCAUGGCUCACUGCAACAUCAACCUCCCUGGGCUGAGGUGAUCCUCCCAUUUCCGCCUCCUACGUAGCUAGGGCUUCGAUUGUAGGUCACCAUGCCUACGCCAUGGCUAUUUUUUGUAUUUUUUGAAGAGACGGGGUCUCUCUACAUUGUCAGGGCUGGACUUGAACUCCUAGGCUCAAGCUAUGCACCUGCCUAGGCCUCCCAAAGUGCUGGAAUUACAGUUGUGAGCCACCAUGCCUGGCCAAUGCCAUAUCUUUUUAAUCGUGGUAGGUGUUAUAGUGAGUAUAUGUUUGAAGAUGAUAUUUUUGACCAGUAAAUUCAUAUCUUUAAUUCAUCGUUAUGUAAACAGAGACACUAAUGAAGCACUCUAGCUCCAUGUGAGUUGUGUGAAUGCAUCCAUCUUACAGUUUUCUUAGGUUACACAUCUAGGUGACUGGAAUGUGAGAGAUGCCUAUUUCAACUACCAUUUAUUGA